rnacentral:rRNA from 1 species
CAGUCCUACGGGAGGCAGCAGUGGGGAAUAUUGCGCAAUGGGCGAAAGCCUGACGCAGCGACGCCGCGUGAGGGAUGAAGGUCUUCGGCUCGUCCCCCUCUGUCAGCCGGGCCGAACGGUCCCUGUGCUAAUCAGCAGUGAAUUGACGGUACCUGCAAAGGAAGCACCGGCUACCUCCGUGCCAGCCGCCGCGGUCAUACGGAGGGUGCGCGCGUUACUCGGCCUUCCUGGGCGUCCCGCGCUCGUCGGCGGUCUGUCCCGUCCCGGGUGCCCUCCCCGCGCUCAACGUGGGCACUGCCUUUGAA